rnacentral:rRNA from 1 species
UACAGAGGUCUCAAGCGUUGUUCGGAUUCAUUGGGCGUAAGGGUGCGUAGGCGGCGCGGUAAGUCGGGUGUGAAAUCUUGGAGCUUAACUCCGAAACUGCAUUCGAUACUGCCGUGCUUGAGGACUGGAGAGGAGACUGGAAUUUACGGUGUAGCGGUGAAAUGCGUAGAUAUCGUAAGGAAGACCAGUGGCGAAGGCGG